UGAGCUUGGGGUGGCCGCAGAGACCAGCGAGAAGCGACUGUUUACUAAAAACACAGGUCCGUGCGAAGCCGUAAGGCGAUGUAUACGGACUGACGCCUGCCCGGUGCUGGAACGUUAAGGGGACCGGUUAGUCAAUCUUCGGGUUGGCGAAGCUGAGAACUUAAGCGCCAGUAAACGGCGGUGGUAACUAUAACCAUCCUAAGGUAGCGAAAUUCCUUGUCGGGUAAGUUCCGACCUGCACGAAUGGCGUAACGACUUCUCGACUGUCUCAACCAUAGGCCCGGUGAAAUUGCACUACGAGUAAAGAUGCUCGUUUCGCGCAGCAGGACGGAAAGACCCCGGGACCUUUACUAUAGUUUGAUAUUGGUGUUCGGUUCGGCUUGUGUAGGAUAGGUGGGAGACUGUGAAGCUUGGACGCCAGUUCAGGUGGAGUCGUCGUUGAAAUACCACUCUGGUCGUGCUGGAUGUCUAACCUGGGUCCGUGAUCCGGAUCAGGGACAGUGUCUGAUGGGUAGUUUAACUGGGGCGGUUGCCUCCUAAAGUGUAACGGAGGCGCCCAAAGGUUCCCUCAGCCUGGUUGGUAAUCAGGUGUUGAGUGUAAGUGCACAAGGGAGCUUGACUGUGAGACCGACGGGUCGAGCAGGGACGAAAGUCGGGACUAGUGAUCCGGCGGUGGCUUGUGGAAGCGCCGUCGCUCAACGGAUAAAAGGUACCCCGGGGAUAACAGGCUGAUCUUCCCCAAGAGUCCAUAUCGACGGGAUGGUUUGGCACCUCGAUGUCGGCUCGUCGCAUCCUGGGGCUGGAGUCGGUCCCAAGGGUUGGGCUGUUCGCCCAUUAAAGCGGUACGCGAGCUGGGUUUAGAACGUCGUGAGACAGUUCGGUCCCUAUCCGCUGUGCGCGUAGGAGUCUUGAGAAGGGCUGUCCCUAGUACGAGAGGACCGGGACGGACGAACCUCUGGUGUGCCAGUUGUUCUGCCAAGGGCAUGGCUGGUUGGCUACGUUCGGAAAGGAUAACCGCUGAAAGCAUCUAAGCGGGAAGCCUGCUUCGAGAUGAGGACUCCCACCUCCUUUGAGGGGUUAAGGCUCCCAGUAGACGACUGGGUUGAUAGGCCGGAUAUGGAAGCCAGGUGACUGGUGGAGUUGACCGGUACUAAUAGGCCGAGGGCUUGUCCUC
rnacentral:rRNA from 1 species